AAUAGUGGCACAAAUGUUACAGGAGUAUCCAACAACCCCCCUUCUCUCGCAAUAGAAACCCCAAGACAGGAAUUGUUCCAGAGAUCCAUAAAUGAGCAAUGUGCAGAGAGUGGGAGAUUUUGGAGCACUCAGCCCUAAAUGAAAUAUCAUCCUCAAACUCAAAGAACUGUGCAGAAGAGGAGGCAGAAGGGUUUAAAAGCCUUAACUUUUGGUGCUUAACUCCAAGGAAACAGUAUCAUCCAGAUAUAUAUGAACUCAGACACCAUGAUAGCACACUGCAAGACCUGUAGCUGUUCAAACUAGGUAUAAUCCCAGUAUGGAGAAGAGAAGGCAGGCACAAAGUCCCACCCCUAGCCAAGAAGAUAUUUGUAACAGAUACCUGCUGGGAAAGGGAAAAGCCGUUUUCUCCAAUGAAGAGUCAGUAG
rnacentral:lncRNA from 1 species